rnacentral:rRNA from 1 species
CCGGCGUGCAGGACGACGGCUUCGGGUGUAAACUGCUUUGGGGGGAAGGAUGAUCGACGGUACCCCCCGAACUAAGCCCCGGCUAACUCUGUGCCAGCAGCCGCGGUAAUACGGAGGGGGCAAGCGUUGUCCGGACUGACUGGGCGUAAAGCGCACGCAGGCGGUUGUGGGCGUCGGUGCUGAAAGUCCACUGCUUAACAGUGGGAUGCGUGCCGAUACGCCAUAACUGGAGCGAUGCAGAGGCCAGUGGAAUUGCCGGUGUAGUGGUGAAAUGCGUAGAGAUCGGCAGGAACACCCAAGGGGAAGCCAGCUGGCUGGGCAUUUGCUGACGCUCAUGUGCGACAGCGUGGGGAGCGAACUGGAUUAGAUACCCAGGUAGUCCACGCCGUAAACGAUGGAUGCUCGGUGUCUGGUGGGUAAUCAGUCCCGCUGGGCGCCUCAGCUAACGCGCAAGCAUCCCGCCUGGGAACUACGAGCGCAAGCUUA